GCAGGACUGUCUUCAGCGUUACCUCCACCUCCUCCGCCUCCGCCACCUCCACCGCCACCAGCAGGGCCCUCCCCAGGCACCGAGAUGCCUGCUCCGCCCCUGCCCCAGGCCGUGAAUGGUGUGAACCGUGGGGCCUUGCUCAGCUCCAUCCAGAAUUUCCAAAAGGGAACUUUGAGGAAAGCCAAAACCUGUGAUCACAGUGCUCCUAAGAUUGGCUGAUACUUCUUGGUUACACUGGAGGGCAAGCUCUUUGGUCCCGUCCCACCCUUUGAGUCCCUCCUUCCUGGGUGAGUUCUUCCACAACUUCCCUCAAGCCCCUUCCUGGGUGAACCCUUGCAGAGCCCGUACAGCCAGUCCUGCAGACACUCCAGUCAGGAGGCUUUUCAAGAGGGAAAUGUUCUCCAGAUAGAAUAAAGAGGGGCCAGCAUUGCUGCCUUAGUAGUUUGCUCCUUUGUGACUCUAAUGGGCUUCCUUUAGGGGCAGCAUCAUAUGGGUUAUCGUUUUCACCAGCGAAAGGAAAAUGACAGAGAAUCAAAAGCAAUGACAAUAUUCUGUCACAGCAGCGAAUGGCCUUUGUCACUCUGUCAAGGUGUUCUCAUAGCUCAUUCCUCCGAAGCAUCUUUUGGUGAUUUCUUAGGUAGCACCCACGUGUACUCGCUACUCUGCCCCAGAUGCUAACACUAACCAAGGCAGUUAUGCUGCUGAAGCAAAGGAACGGGCUCUUCGUUCUUCUGUAUACCGUAGGGAUGGGGAGCUCCUCAGGGAAUCCCACUGUGCUGAGAGCAGCAGCUCUGGGUGCAUAGUCAGCCACAGUGUACCAGACACGGCACUGACCACAGCUAAAGCUCUUGCCAGUUGAAGGACUGUCUCAGUCCUCAGCAAUUAAAUCCAGUGGGGGUAGAGGGAGGGCCAACAUUACAAGUGAAUCUGGCAUCUAUAGUGAUCACUUCUGAUCUGAUUUAUCCAACUUCAGCAUCUUUUUGAUAUUACUCAGUUAUCAGAAAUCUUUUAUCCUAUGAUUUGCUUAAACCUUUUAAAUAAAUUGCACUUUAAAGGAUUAUAAAAAAUCCAUUUUAAAAUUCAAAUACACACAUCAGUGUUGGUUACUAUGCAGAAAGAAUGUUAUUGUGUAUAGUCUCAUGUAAUCUGUGAUACAUGUUCAGCUGUAUUUUUUAUUAAAAGAAAUCAUGUCAAGAAAGU
rnacentral:lncRNA from 1 species